UCUUUAUUUAUAUCGUGGGUUGUUUUCCAAGAAAAACAAGUGACAAUUAUAUUCAUUUGAAGACAUUGGUAAGUUGCUUUGGAAUCUACAAUUUUGUUCAAUAAUAAACAUGGAAUAUUUCAAGACACCGGCUUUAAUAAUGAAAAAAGUUGUGUGAUCUUCAAGCCAUGAGUAAACAAGCACUAUGCACCUUGCAACAGGAAAACACAGGCACAUGUGUAUUGUGGAUUUGCGAAGACAAGCAUUAAGUAAGAGUUUGUUAUUGCAUGAAGCAGAUAAACAAUUGGAUGUCCAGUCAGAUUUGUUGGAAGCUUGGAUAACUGGGGCAAACCAAAGCUGUAAAGAAGGUUGAGCAAAGAAAUGCAUUGUGGGAAAUCAGGACUGAUUAGUUUGAACCCUGGUAACUGAACCUCAGCAACAUCAAAAUGUGAGAUAAAGCGUGGAAGUCAAAUUUUAACGUAUAGAAAUGAAGUAAUGAACUUUGAGAAACAGACUACAAUAAUUUGUUUAAAUUAUGUAGUGUACAGUAUACUGGUACUUGAAGCUUAGUGAACUCUGAUGUAUGGAGAUGAAGCAGAUAAAUUGUGGAAAGUCUAAACCACAACAGACAUUUGUUGUGCAUUCAUAGAAUGAAUGAUUAUGAAUUGAAGUACUGUUUGCCAAGUGAAGUUUGUGAUUUAUUAAGUAAAGUAAGUGUUGACCUUUCAAAAUGCUGAAGUUUUUGACUGAUUCUGGAUCUAGUUAAAAAUAGAAUGUUGGUCCGAUUCAGAACUUAAUUUAAAAGUUUUUGAAUUUUAGUUUUUGUUGGACCAAUUCUGGUCUGUAGUGUAAAUUAUUGAUCCUAUUGUGGACUUACAGUAGUUAAAAUGUUGGUCCAAUUCCGGACUUGGUUAAAAUCCUGGACUUGGUGUAAAAUAUUGGUCCAAUUCUGA